GAUGAACGCUGGCGGCGUGCCUAAUACAUGCAAGUCGAGCGAACGGACGAGAAGCUUGCUUCUCUGAUGUUAGCGGCGGACGGGUGAGUAACACGUGGAUAACCUACCUAUAAGACUGGGAUAACUUCGGGAAACCGGAGCUAAUACCGGAUAAUAUUUUGAACCGCAUGGUUCAAAAGUGAAAGACGGUCUUGCUGUCACUUAUAGGUGGAUCCGCGCUGCAUUAGCUAGUUGGUAAGGUAACGGCUUACCAAGGCAACGAUGCAUAGCCGACCUGAGAGGGUGAUCGGCCACACUGGAACUGAGACACGGUCCAGACUCCUACGGGAGGCAGCAGUAGGGAAUCUUCCGCAAUGGGCGAAAGCCUGACGGAGCAACGCCGAGUGAGUGAUGAAGGUCUUCGGAUCGUAAAACUCUGUUAUUAGGGAAGAACAUAUGUGUAAGUACCUGUGCACAUCUUGACGGUACCUAACCAGAAAGCCACGGCUAACUACGUG
rnacentral:rRNA from 1 species